UGUGCCCAGAAUCCGAACCCGCGAACCCCGGGGUGCUGAAGCAGAGUGUAGGAACUUAACUACUGUGCCACCAGACCGGCCCCUAAAGGUUUCAAGGUAAGGAAAUACCUAAGUAAAAUUGUAGGUGCAGGAUCAGGGGCUUGCUGUGUGGGUUACUGUUCACCAGCAAAUAUUGAGCGGCUAUAGCACAUCAGUAUUUAUGUGCUUCCCUCUCCACCUCCGCAUGAGCUCCAGGCGGGGACGGUGUCUGAUUCAUUCCUGUGUCCCCAGCACAGAGUCUGCACAGAGCGGGAACUCAGCGCCCGGCACUGGAGGAGUGGAUUAGAAGGCAGGCCGCUCUCCACAUUGACCUGCAGAGUGACCUCUCUGACCCCUAGGAUCCAACCUUACCACAGCAGGCAGAAAGCCUUUUACUGGCUCCCAGUGUCCCGGAUGAAGCCCACACGCCGUAAAUGAUGAUGAAGAUGAAGGUGGUAGCUACCACAUACCUCUCUCACAACCCCCACAACAGUCCUGCAAGGCAGGCGAGGAUCACUGUCCUCAUUUGUCAAAUGAAAAUCUGAUGGCUCAGAGAGGUUCAGUGACUCACCCGAGGUUACUCAGCCAGCGAGCUGCAGACACAGGCACCAAGCCCAGGGCUGUGGGCUGAUUGUUUGAUGGGCAUUCGAGGCCUGUCAGCCUCCCUCGCCAGAGAAGUUGCCAGGCUCAUCCAGGUGCCCAGGCAUCAGCCUCGUCUGACUCAGCAAGGAGCAAGUCGGAGGCGGCUGCUUGCCCGUCAGACUGCUGUUUUCUGCCUGAGAAGCAUCACUUGCUGUAGCCUCUUUCUCUUCUGCUCCCCAAGGAUCAUUCCGCAUCUGGGGGGAGUCAUUUUCCACAGAGUCAAGAGUUCUGAAAACUCGCUUUAUUGUUGUACACUGAAAACGGAUACCAUGUUAUAUGUGAGUUAUAUCUCAAUUAAAAGUCAGGUUAUAUUAGUGUACACAGCAACAGUAGAAGCUAACAUUUAUGCGGCAUUGAACGUCAAGACCGUGCUAAGUGCUUCACAUGCAUUGUCUCACUUUGUAAGGUCCAUUAAUUUAUUUAUUUGAAUAAGGACCCUCUACACGUGAUUAAAAGAAAGAGAGAGAUGGAUUACAAAAAGGCAUUUGGUGAAAAGUCAGUCUCUUUCCUCCUCUGCACUCCUGUCUCCCACGUCCCCUCCCAGAGACCAGUGUGACCAGCUCCUCGGGUGUCCUGCAGAGUCCCGAGUUACUACUAUCUCAUUUAAUCCUCUCAUCAGCCCUUUGAAGUAGGUAUUAUUAUCCUUGUAUUACAUAUCAGGACACUGAGGUUCAGAGACAGGAAGCCACAUACUCAAGGUCACACAGCUUCCACUUACUCAAGUGGCUGAGCUGGGGUUUCUCCCCAGAUGGACUGCCUCUCACCCUGUAGGCCUCCCUGCCUCCCACAAGGAGGUGAAAACCAGAAAGUUGAGCUGAGAAGCGUGUGCUGGGCAAUCGGCUGGACACCCUCGUUGACAGGCUUUUGCUCCACAUACCAAUCUUGCAGCAAAGAAUUCAAACUUGGACCUCAGUAAAAUGACAAAUUCUGACCCGUCAUAGGCCUUCGAGGUUAUUGACCCAUAGUCAAGACCUCAGAUUUUCCAACCCUGAAUAGUCUUCCGUUCCUGCUGUUUCCUGCCUUCUUGCUCCUUUGCGCCCUUGGUUUGCCCUUCAGUGACGUCGGCUCCGACCAGCUGCUCAGUGUGACUAAGGGUUCGCGGGGCAGGAUAGGAGGCGCACAGCCAUGCAGCUCUAAAACCUGGGUUCUGCCUCAGCUCCGCCCCGCUGGCCCGCCUGGCUGGGCGGGUCCUGUCACUUCUCUGCCUCCAUGUCUUCACUCGCAAGAUAGGAAGAAUUACAUCUAACUUAAAAGGUUUGAGGAUCCUCAAGUGAGGUGAUAGGCCAGUGGCAAGUAGCAAAGCCUCAUGCAAAUAUCGUUAUGUUUAGUAACAAUAAAAGUUGGAGUAAAUCUGGUCGCUCUACGGUGAAAAAGAGCUGGCUAAAUUCGCA